CUACGGGGCGCACCAGUGGGGAAUAUUGCACAAUGGGCGCAAGCCUGAUGCAGCCAUGCCGCGUGUAUGAAGAAGGCCUUCGGGUUGUAAAGUACUUUCAGCGGGGAGGAAGGGAGUAAAGUUAAUACCUUUGCUCAUUGACGUUACCCGCAGAAGAAGCACCGGCUAACUCCGUGCCAGCAGCCGCGGUAAUACGGAGGGUGCAAGCGUUAAUCGGAAUGACUGGGCGUAAAGCGCACGCAGGCGGUUUGUUAAGUCAGAUGUGAAAUCCCCGGGCUCAACCUGGGAACUGCAUCUGAUACUGGCAAGCUUGAGUCUCGUAGAGGGGGGUAGAAUUCCAGGCGUAGCGGUGAAAUGCGUAGAGAUCUGGAGGAAUACCGGUGGCGAAGGCGGCCCCCUGGACGAAGACUGACGCUCAGGUGCGAAAGCGUGGGGAGCAAACAGGAUUAGAUACCCGUGUAGUC
rnacentral:rRNA from 1 species